GACGAACGCUGGCGGCGUGCUUAACACAUGCAAGUCGAGCAGAGCGGCGGACGGGUGAGUAAAGCGUGAGUAACUGCCCACCUCCCUGGGGUAACAGUUGGAAACGGCAGCUAAUACCGGAUAGUGGGGGAUGACUCGCGUCCUAUCAGCUUGUGGGUGGGGUAGUGGCCGCCCAAGGCGACGACGGGGAGCCGGCCUGAGAGGGGGACCGGCCACAAUGGGCUCAGAUACGGCCCAAACUCCAACGGGGGGCAGCAGUGGGGAAUAUUGCACAACGGGGGAAACCCUGUGACAACGACGCCGCGUGCGGGAUGACGGCCUUCGGGUUGUAAACCGCUUUCAGCCAUGACGCGGUAGUGGCAGAAGAAGCACCGGCUAACUCCGUGCCAGCAGCCGCGGUAAUAC
rnacentral:rRNA from 1 species